ACUAUAUGUUUAACGGCCGCGGUAUUUUGACCGUGCAAAGGUAGCGCAAUCACUUGUCCUUUAAAUGUGGACCUGUAUGAAUGGCAUAACGAGGGCUUAGCUGUCUCCUUUCUCAAGUCAAUGAACUUGAUCUCCCCGUGCAGAAGCGGGGAUAAAACCAUAAGACGAGAAGACCCUAUGGAGCUUUAGACAAAAAACAGCCCCUGUCAAUAAACCCUAAAUAAAGGGAAUAAACCUAGUGAACCUGUUUUAAUGUCUUUGGUUGGGGCGACCGCGGGGUAACAAAAAACCCCCAUGUGGAAUGAAAACACCCUUUUUAAACCCAAGAGUCACCACUCUAGGAUACAGAACAUCUGACCAAUAAUGAUCCGGCUAAAGCCGAUUAACGAACCGAGUUACCCUAGGGAUAACAGCGCAAUCCUCUUUUAGAGUCCAUAUCGACAAGAGGGUUUACGACCUCGAUGUUGGAUCAGGACAUCCUAAUGGUGCAGCCGCUAUUAAAGGUUCGUUUGUUCAACGAUUAA
rnacentral:rRNA from 1 species